CCUACGGGAGGCAGCAGUGAGGAAUAUUGGUCAAUGGGCGUAAGCCUGAACCAGCCAAGUCGCGUGAGGGAUGAAGGUCCUAUGGAUCGUAAACCUCUUUUAUAAGGGAAUAAAGUGUGGGACGUGUCCUGUUUUGUAUGUACUUUAUGAAUAAGGAUCGGCUAACUCCGUGCCAGCAGCCGCGGUAAUACGGAGGAUCCGAGCGUUAUCCGGAUUUAUUGGGUUUAAAGGGAGCGUAGGUGGCCUGUUAAGUCAGCGGUGAAAGUCUGUGGCUCAACCAUAGAAUUGCAGUUGAUACUGGCAGCCUUGAGUACGUUUGAGGCAGGCGGAAUUCGUGGUGUAGCGGUGAAAUGCUUAGAUAUCACGCAGAACCCCGAUUGCGAAGGCAGCCUACCAAGC
rnacentral:rRNA from 1 species